UACGUAGGGUGCGAGCGUUGUCCGGAAUUAUUGGGCGUAAAGAGCUCGUAGGCGGUCUGUCGCGUCUGCUGUGAAAUCCCGAGGCUCAACCUCGGGCUUGCAGUGGGUACGGGCAGGCUAGAGUGCGGUAGGGGAGAUCGGAAUUCCUGGUGUAGCGGUGAAAUGCGCAGAUAUCAGGAGGAACACCGGUGGCGAAGGCGGAUCUCUGGGCCGAUACUGACGCUGAGGAGCGAAAGCGUGGGGAGCGAACAGG
rnacentral:rRNA from 1 species